rnacentral:miRNA from 1 species
UCGGCUGUACUGUCCUUCAUG